rnacentral:misc_RNA from 1 species
AGAAACCCUGUGGCCGUGAUCUUAUAUCAGAUGCAUUUUUGCAAAAACAUGCAGUUUGGACGUCAAAAUACUUAUACGUAAUUUACAGGCGAUCUUUGGAAACUUCAGUGAUACCUGACGACUGGCGAAGGGCCAAAGUAAUACCUGUGCACAAAUCUGGCUCUAAACUCGACCUGGACAAGUCGGAAUGGCAAUGCACCUUGGAGAACAAGACUCUAAUUGUGAAAGUCUGGUGGUUUCACAGAACUUUGUUUUAUGUCAAGAUGGGCUGACACCAUGUCACCUGAUGCUGUCACUCUCUGGUAAGCAUGUUAAAAAAAUAAAAACAAUCCAGUUUGAACAGUAA